UGGCGGUCUUAGCGCGGUGGUCCCACCUGACCCCAUGCCGAACUCAGAAGUGAAACGCCGUAGCGCCGAUGGUAGUGUGGGGUCUCCCCAUGCGAGAGUAGGGAACUGCCAGGCA
rnacentral:rRNA from 4 species